GUGAAGAUUCCCAUGGCAUUUUUGGAACAAUGAUGUUCUCUGGUGGAAUGCUACUAAGAUGUUCUUUGCAGAGAUUAUGCUCUUUUAUAUUUGAUACUGAAUUUAUAGUUUUCUCAUGAAAAGAUAUGGAAAGUUACAUUUAGUUUCUUCUGGUACAUCCACUUAUCUUGAGUUAAAACAGAUGGUUAACGAGUCUUCAUCAAUGCGUAAUUUUGUAGCAGGUAUUAGAGAGGAAUUUGAUAAAAGCUUUUGAAGAUAUUACAUGUACAACUACUACAUGUAUGCUAUGUAAAAUUGAAGGUUUUAUGCUUUGCUAAAUGAUUUAAGUGUUUCAUGUUAUAAUGUUAUUCAAAAUUCAUCCCAACUAUUAUUGGAGGUGUUCCAUCUUAUUAAUUAUUGAUAUUGAAGGUGUUACAUGUUAUUAAUUAUUGAUAUUGAAUGUGUUACAUGUAACUCUUUAUUAACUGAUAUUGAAUGUGUUACAUGUAACACUGCUGAUUUUGAAGAUGUUAGUACAUGUAACACUAUGCUAACUGAUAUUGAAGCAUGUAACAAUAUGGCAAUAUUGAAGGUGUUACAUGUAACACUAUGCUAACUGAUAUUGAAGGUGUUAUAUGUAAGACUAAUGCUAACUGAUAUUGAAGGUAAUACAUGUGACACUAUGGUAACUAAUAUUGAAGAUGUUUCAUGUGACACUAUGCUAACUGAUAUUGAAGGUGUUACAUGUAACACUGCUAACUGAUACAUGUAUAUUGAAGGUGUUACAUGUCACACUAAGCCAGCUGAUUUUGAAGGUGUUUCACAUUACAUUAUCCUAACUUCGUAUUAAAGUGAUAUUGAUUCUGUUUCACAUAGCAGUGUGCAUAAAUUCAUGUAGGCCUACAGUACAUGUAUGCAACCAACCAAUAUUUUUAGAUGUAAUACACGUGUGACUAUGUUACUGUGAAUGAAAUAACAUAGUGCGAACUGAUAUUAAAUGUGUUUUAUUGGUGUUACAUGUUACUCUAUGUGCUGAUAUUGAAGGUAUCGCACCAUGAAGUAGGAAAAGGUAGUCAUUUUAAUAAAGAAAAUGUUCUCAUUCAUCCAGUGACUACAUUAUAACUGCUAAAGUACAUGUUCAUGUGCAUACUUUAAUCUGUUAUCAUGGAGAUCCAUUUUUCAAAGGAAAUUAUUUCUAUCAUCUUGAGCAUUUAAGAAGUUAUAUUUGAAAGAGUUGUUCAAUAUUUUUCAUUGUCUCACAAUUAUUUCAAGCAUGUGCCAAAGUCAUGUAAAUAAGAUAAUUUAUACAGUGUCAUUGUACUUUUCAUUAUACUGCUUUGUAGUAAUCAUUUAUUAUCACGGGGGAAUCAUAUGAUGCAAAUAUCAUCGGUUUCAAUCACUCUUGUGCAUUCAUUGAUACAGUCGUUGGUAGUAGGAUUUCAAGAAGUUGAUGGAUAAUUUUAAGGUGUUUUUUUUUCUAAAGCAUGAAAUAUAUGUACAUUUUAUAAAUGCAUUUUAAAUACCCAGAACAUUUUAGAUUGUACAGUACUUACUAUCGAAUCCAUUUAUGAAUGCAGUCUUUGCCGUCACAAAUGUGAUUGAUUUUACGGUAACAACUAUUAUUAUAAUUUCUUGCCAUGGCUGCCUUACUUUGCUAGUGAGCUUUAAAAUGAAAAAGUACUAUUGAGCUGAAACUAAAAAUGUUACUCAACAUGAUUGUUCAAAUUUUGCGGUGUGUGUAUGACUAAGCCCACAUCAAGUUGCAUUUCCAUUGGUGUACAUGUAUCAUGUAUAUUUUAGAUUUAGACAAAGUUAUAGUCGUAGUUAUAGUAGUAUAUAAUAAUAAUGAUGAUGAUGUACUGCUUAUACGGAGCUUUCCCAUGAGGCCCACAGCGAAACAGUUAAAAUGGAACCUGUUAAAAAUUAUCUAAUGCUAAAACUAAAAUACUGCAAACUAUGAAAGAGAUGGAGAUUUUAAGGCAUUUUUUGAUAAUUUCUAUUGAUGGAGACUUACUUAUUAUAAGAGCCAAACCAUUCAGUAUUUUUAGGCUGGCACAGUAAACAACAGUUCUGUCACUGGCUAACAAAUGAUUUUCCCUUCUGUUGCAAACACUUCAAUUAGUACUA
rnacentral:lncRNA from 1 species